UACGUAGGGGGCUAGCGUUGUCCGGAAUCAUUGGGCGUAAAGCGCGUGUAGGCGGUCCGGUAAGUCCGCUGUGAAAGUCGGGGGCUCAACCCUCGGAUGCCGGUGGAUACUGUCGGGCUUGAGUACGGAAGAGGCGAGUGGAAUUCCUGGUGUAGCGGUGAAAUGCGUAGAUAUCAGGAGGAAUACCGAUGGCGAAGGCAGGUCUCUGGGCUGACACUGACGCUCAUGCACGAAAGCGUGGGGAGCAAACAGG
rnacentral:rRNA from 1 species